GAUGAAGAACGUAGCGAAAUGCGAUAACUAAUGUGAAUUGCAGAAUUCCGUGAAUCAUCGAGUCUUUGAACGCACAUUGCGCCCCCUGGUAUUCCGGGGGGCAUGCCUGUCCGAGCGUCAUUACAACCCUCAAGCCCGGCUUGUGUAAUGGGCGGCCGUCUCUCCCCCCGGGGGGAGACGCCCCCGAAACUCAGUGGGGAUGUCGCGAUACCGAAGCCUCAGCUAAUGGGUAAACCACAGCUGCAAUGGCCGCGGCCGGCGUCCGCCUUCCACGGUCCGUCCGCCUAGCGCGGGCGGCCUUCUCAAGGUUGACCUCGGAUCAGGUAGGGAUACCCGCUGAACUUAAGCAUAUCAAUAAGCGGAGG
rnacentral:misc_RNA from 1 species